rnacentral:rRNA from 1 species
GCUUGUCUCAAAGAUUAAGCCAUGCAUGUCUAAGUAUAAGCAAACUUGUACUGUGAAACUGCGAAUGGCUCAUUAAAUCAGUUAUCGUUUAUUUGAUGAUCUCUUACUACUUGGAUAACCGUAGUAAUUCUAGAGCUAAUACAUGCACAAAGGCCCGACUCACGAAGGGCUGUAUUUAUUAGAUUUAAAGCCGACAUCUUUUGGUGAUUCAUAAUAACUUUUCGAACCUCAUGCCUUUAUGGUGGAGGUGAUUCAUUCAAAUUUCUGCCCUAUCAACUUUCGAUGGUAGGAUAGAGGCCUA